CUGUUCACACUCAUCAAUGUCUUGGACAAGAAGUAAAAAAGAGAAAUGUCAAUUCAAUCUUCUUUUGUGGCUAUGAGAUGUAUAAUGAUCACUAAACAUUUUGUUUAUUGAGAUCAAUCUUGUUAGAAUAUUUGUAUUAUACAGAUUUAGUAAAUGCUGUUUUUUUAAUUAUUGAAAUACUGAAAGUCUGCUGUUACCUUGACAUCCUGUGGUUUCUGUUGG